GACGAACGCUGGCGGCGUGCUUAACACAUGCAAGUCGAACGGAAAGGCCCGGCUUUUGUGGGGUUCUCGUUUGGCGCACAGGUGAGUAACACGUGUGUAACCUGCCCUUGACUUUCGGAUAACAUCAGGGAACUGCGGCUCAUACCGCAGAGGAGCUCCUGAUGCGUGUUGGUGGUUGGAAAGAUUCGGCGGUUGGGGAUGGACUCGCGGCUUAGCAGCCUCUUGGUGUGGUAGUGGCUUACCAAGCCUUUGAAGGGUAGCCGGCCUGAGAGCGUGACCGGGGACAAUGGGACUGAGAGAGGGACCAGACGCGUAUGUGAGGCAGCAGGCGGAAGCAUGGCACAAUGGGCGGAAGCCUGAGGUAGCAAUGUCGCGUUCGGAAUGAUGUGUUUCUGGGUGUAAACAGCUGUGUCCGGUGAUGAAGCGGUAGUGACGGUAACGGGUAAAGAAGCAACGGCUAACUACGUG
rnacentral:rRNA from 1 species